CAAACCUCAAGCCUUGCUUGGUGAUGGGUCCCGCCUGCGUGGCGGGCCCGAAACUCGUGGGCGCCUCAGAUCGGACUCCAAGCGUAGCAAAACCCUCGCUUGCGGACGACCGGUCAGAGGCCGCCCCGGACCCCAAAUUUAUCAAU
rnacentral:misc_RNA from 1 species